GGCCCAGACUCCUACGGGAGGCAGCAGUGGGGAAUAUUGCGCAAUGGGGGAAACCCUGACGCAGCAACGCCGCGUGAGUGAAGAAGUAUCUCGGUAUGUAAAGCUCUAUCAGCGGGGAAGAAGGAAGACGGUACCCGACUAAGAAGCCCCGGCUAACUACGUGCCAGCAGCCGCGGUAAUACGUAGGGGGCGAGCGUUAUCCGGAUUUACUGGGUGUAAAGGGAGCGUAGACGGCGAUGCAAGUCUGAAGUGAAAGGCGGGGGCCCAACCCCCGGACUGCUUUGGAAACUGUAUGGCUGGAGUGCAGGAGAGGUAAGUGGAAUUCCUAGUGUAGCGGUGAAAUGCGUAGAUAUUAGGAGGAACACCAGUGGCGAAGGCGGCCUGCUGGACUGCAACUGACGUUGAGGCUCGAAGGCGUGGGGAGCAAACAGGAUUAGAUCCCCUUGUA
rnacentral:rRNA from 1 species